ACCUGGCUGGUUUAGUCACUAGAGCAUGUGACUCUUGAUCUUGAGGUCAUGAGUUCAAGCCCCAUGUCGGGCA
rnacentral:tRNA from 1 species